AUGGGGAGGAAGAGGAAAGGGAAACCAACUACAGAAGGUAAAAAAAAUAAAAUAAAAAAAAGCCUUAUCAGGAAGAAAGUUAGCGAGAGAGCGCGGUGGAGGAAAUGCAAAGCUUCAAAAGGCGGGAAAAUGCUGCUAAUGAGGCAAAAGUUGAAGCGUGAUGAUAGCCGUUGUCAGAAGAACAAAAUGGAACAAAAACAACUAAGCGUUAAAAAAGUCAUUGGCCGUCUUCAGAAUCACUUCAUGCCCUUUUCCAGAUAUCGUUCCUUAAAAAUGUGACUUCAACGACCGGUCUACUAUUAUGUCGUUAAGAUGGAUGCUCAUCGGAAAAUAAUCCGGUUUUCAUAAGGCGCUUCGGACGCCCUUCCUGGAAAUCAGCCAACGUGUGGCCCAAAGCGACACAGUGGGAACAUUUCUGGACACUCGGCAUCCAGCUGGUCAAGAGUCACGGCGUCGGAAUUAAGGACAAGGCGGCGAAGCACACGUCGGGAGGAGGCGAUGCUGCCUUCAAGUGGCGUGGGGAGAAAAAACACACUAGCAUUUCCUGCUUUCUUUGUAAAGAUAAUAAACUGCGUCUUCAAGUA